GCCCCGACCCCCCUCUGUGGCUCUUUGCAUUGAAGUGAGUGGUUGAGGGCACUGAAAAUCCCACACCCCACAUCCCGCACCCCACAUCCCGCACCCCACAUCCCACACCCCACAUCCCACACCCCACAUCCCAUACCCCACAACCCAUACCCCACAACCCACACCCCACAUCCCAUACCAAAUGUCCCACACCCCACAUCCCACACCCCACAUCCCACACCCUACAUCCCACACCCCACAUCCCAUACCCCACAACCCACACCCCACAUCCCGUACCAAACAUCCUGCACCCCACACCCCACAUCCCGCACCCCACAUCCCAUAUCCUCCACCCCACAGCCAAAACUGUGGGACAGAACCAGGGGGGUUCCAUCCGCUGCAAAACAGGUCCUAAAUGGGUGCAGGCCCCAAAUGGAUGCAGGUUCUGAAUGGGGACGAGUCCCACAUGGGUGCGGGUCCCAGAUGAAUGCUCACCCCAAAUGGGCGCGGGUCCCAAAUGGAUUCAGGUCCCAAAUGGGUUCAGGUCCAAAAUGAGUUCAAAUCCUACAUGGGUACACAUUCCAGACAGGUGUGGAUCCCAAAUGGGUGUAGGUCCCACGAGGGUUCAUAUCCCAAAUGGGUGCCCAUCCCAAAUAGGUGCGGAUCCCAAAUGGAUGCGGGUCCCAAAUAGGUGCGGAUCUGAAAUGGAUGUGGAUCCCAAACGGAUGUGGGUUCUAAAUAGGUGUGGAUCCCAAUGGGUCCCAAAUGGGUGCCCAUCCCAAACAGGUGUGGAUCCCAAUGGGUGCAGGCCCCAAAUGGGUGCCCAUCCCAAAUAGGUAUGGAUCCCAAUGGAUGCAGGCCCCAAAUGGGUGCCCAUCCCAAAUAGGUGUGGAUCCCAAUGGGUGCAGGUCCCAGAUGGGUGCCCAUCCCAAAUAGGUGUGGAUCCCAAUGGGUCCCAAAUGGGUACCCAUCCCAAAUAGGUGUGGAUCCCAAUGGGUGCACUGUGGGAACCGUCCUCUGCGGCGCUGUGUCCGAAGAGCGGCAGUCCUGGCAGCCGGAAUGGGGACAUCGGCACCGUAGGAGCGAUCCGACCCCAUAGUGCUGAUGCUUGGACAGCAGCAGCCCCAUAGGUGUGGGGCCGAGGAGGUCACUGUCUGCCCCGGGUGCAUCAAUCUCUCCAUCCUAAACUGCAGAGCGAAUGGUUUGGGUUUGUUGCAUCGGCUCUUUGGGUUCUGCACCACUGCAGUGCAGUGGGGCGGUCUGCUGCAUUGGUCCUUUGGGUUUUGCACCAUUGCAGUGCAGUGGGGUGUGUUUGCUGCAUGCAGUGUGUCUGUAGGACACGUUGUGGGUCAGACCUUUGGGUUUUGCACCGUUGCAAAGCCAAUGGAGUGUGUUUGCUGCACCCGGUGUGCCUGUGGGAUAUAUGUGGGUCCGCUCUUCGGGUACUGCACCAUUGCAAAGGCAAUGGGGUGGGUUUGUUGCAUUGGCCUUUGAUAUUCUGCAGCACUGCAACGUCAGUGGGGUGUGUUUGCUGCACCCAGUGUGGCUGUAGGACACCUGUGGGUCGUUCCUUUGGGUGUUGCACCAUUGCAAAGGCAAUGCGGUGGGUUUGUUGCACCUGGUGCAGCUGUAGGACACGUUGUGGGUCAGCCCUCUGUAUUUUGCACCAUUGCAAAGGCACUGGGGUGGGUUUGUUGCACCCGGUGUGGCUGUGGGAUAUAUGUGGGUCAACUCUUCAGGUAUUGCACCAUUGCAAAGGCAAUGGGGUGGGUUUGUGGCAUCGACCCUUUGGGUUUUGCACCAUUGCAGUGCCAGUGGAGUGUGUUUGCUGCACCCGGUGCACCUGUAGGACAUGUGUGGGUUGGGCCUUUGGGUGUUGCACCACUGCAAAGCCAAUGGGGUGGGUUUGUUGCAUUGGCCUUUGAUAUUCUGCAGCACUGCAAUGGCAGUGGGCUGUGUUUGCUGCACCGUGUGGCUGUAGGACACCUGUGGGUCGUUCCUUUGGGUGUUGCACCAUUGCAAAGACAGUGGGGUGGGUUUGUUGCAUUGACCCUUUGGGUUUUGCACCAUUGCACAGUCAGUGGGGUGUGUUUGCUGCACCCGGUGCGUCUGUAGGAUAUAUGUGGGUCAGCUCUUCGGGUACUGCACCAUUGCAAAGGCAAUGGGGUGGGUUUGUUGCACCCGGUGCGUCUGUAGGAUAUAUGUGGGUCAGCUCUUCGGGUACUGCACCAUUGCAAAGGCAAUGGGGUGGGUUUGUUGCAUUGACCCUUUGGGUUUUGC
rnacentral:lncRNA from 1 species